GACGAACCGUGCAAACGUUAUUCGGAAUCACUGGGCAUAAAGGGCGCGUAGGCGGCUCCAAAAGUCAGGGGUGAAAUCCGGCAGCUUAACUGUCGCAGUGCCUUUGAUACUGUGGAGCUAGAGGGAGGUAGGGGUCUGUGGAACUUCCGGUGGAGCGGUGAAAUGCGUUGAUAUCGGAAGGAACGCCGGUGGCGAAAGCGACGGACUGGAUCUCUUCUGACGCUGAGGCGCGAAAGCCAAGGGAGCAAACGGG
rnacentral:rRNA from 1 species